rnacentral:rRNA from 1 species
AACGAACGCUGGCGGCGUGCCUAACACAUGCAAGUCGAACGGGAUCCAGAGCUUGCUCUGGUGAGAGUGGCACACGGGUGAGUAACGCGUAGAUAAUCUACCUGAUGAUUCGGGAUAACACUUCGAAAGGGGUGCUAAUACCGGAUAAGCCCACGGGGUCUUUGGACUCUGCGGGAAAAGGGGGGGACCUUCGGGCCUUCCGUCAUCAGAUGAGUCUGCGUACCAUUAGCUAGUUGGUAGGGUAAAGGCCUACCAAGGCGACGAUGGUUAGCUGGUCUGAGAGGAUGAUCAACCACACUGGAACUGAGACACGGUCCAGACUCCUACGGGAGGCAGCAGUGGGGAAUUUUGCGCAAUGGGCGAAAGCCUGACGCAGCAACGCCGCGUGAGUGAUGAAGGCUCUUGGGUCGUAAAGCUCUGACAGAGGGAAAGAAGUGUGUGGAGGUUAAUACCCUUUGCACUUGACGGUACCCUCAAAGGAAGCACCGGCUAACUCCGUGCCAGCAGCCGCCGCUGUAA